rfam:Triticum aestivum genome assembly, contig: Triticum_aestivum_CS42_TGACv1_scaffold_271724_3DS
AAGAUACUCCCUCCGUUCCACAAUACGUGACUUCCAUUUGUCAAAAUAUAGAUAUAUCUAGACAUGUUUUAGUAUAUAGGUACAUCCAUUUUUGAACAAAUGGAAGUCAAGUAUUUUGGAACGGAGGGAGUACCUU